CAAGUCGAACGAGAAAGUGGAGCAAUCCAUGAGUAAAGUGGCGCACGGGUGAGUAACACGUGACUAACCUACCCUUGAGUGGGGGAUAACUGAGGGAAACCUUAGCUAAUACCGCAUAAUACCUACGGGUCAAAGGAGUAAUUCGCUUAAGGAGGGGGUCGCGGCCGAUUAGUUAGUUGGCAGGGUAAUGGCCUACCAAGACGAUGAUCGGUAUCCGGCCUGAGAGGGUGCACGGACACACUGGAACUGAAACACGGUCCAGACUCCUACGGGAGGCAGCAGUGGGGAAUUUUGCGCAAUGGGGGAAACCCUGACGCAGCAACGCCGCGUGGAGGAUGAAGUCCUUCGGGACGUAAACUCCUUUCGAUCGGGACGAUUAUGACGGUACCGGAAGAAGAAGCCCCGGCUAACUUCGUGCCAGCAGCCGCGGUAAUACGAGGGGGGCGAGCGUUGUUCGGAAUUAUUGGGCGUAAAGGGUGCGUAGGCGGUUUGGUAAGUCUUAUGUGAAAUCUACAGGCUCAACUUGUAGUCUGCAUGAGAAACUGCCGGGCUUGAGUGUGGAGAGGUGAGUGGAAUUCCUGGUGUAGCGGUGAAAUGCGUAGAUAUCAGGAGGAACACCUGUGGCGAAAGCGGCUCACUGGACCAUAACUGACGCUGAUGCACGAAAGCUAGGGGAGCAAACAGGAUUAGAUACCCUGGUAGUCCUAGCCCUAAACGAUGACUGCUUGGUGUGACGGGUACCCAAUCCC
rnacentral:rRNA from 1 species